rnacentral:rRNA from 1 species
UACGAAGGGGGCUCGCGUUGUUCGGAAUUACUGGGCGUAAAGCGCGUGUAGGCGGGUCUUUAAGUCAGGGGUGAAAUGCCAGGGCUCAACCUUGGAACUGCCUUUGAUACUGGAGACCUUGAGUCCGGGAGAGGUGAGUGGAAUUGCGAGUGUAGAGGUGAAAUUCGUAGAUAUUCGCAAGAACACCAGUGGCGAAGGCGGCUCACUGGCCCGGAACUGACGCUGAGGCACGAAAGCGUGGGGAGCAAACAGG